rnacentral:lncRNA from 1 species
AAGGUAGGGGUGCAGCUGUGAAUAAUGGGGGUGGCACGUAGUAGCUGAUGGUCAGGUCCAAGGCCUUCUUCUUCAACCUUUAAUCUGACAGGGGUGCAAGGUGGAACAGUGGAGGUGCAACUUGAAAUAACCUGUCCNGGCCCAAUCUUCUUUGCAGCAAUGGAGUGGGAGUGUGAAUAGGAAACAGAGGUGGUGGCAGGCAGAGAUAAAGGCCCGAUAUCCAGGCCCUGUAACAUAGGGGUGUGAAUAACAGACGCGUGGUGGCAGGAAGAAAGGGCGGCCCACCAGCCAAGCCCAAAAUCUCUUAACCCUAACAGCUGAUAGGGGUUUCUCCAAUUUCAUUCAUUAUGCCAAACACCAAGACCUAGGGUCAUCUUCUCUGAACGGAAGAAACCCGAGCCUCCCCCUUGCCCGAAGACGCUGCCGCCUCCGCUGGACUAGCCGCCACCGAACCCACCGUCGUGAGUGGCGGUACAAAACGUCGUCGGUGACGACACUUUCUGCCGGAGCCCUCGUCGGUCACGACUCCAAAUCCCCCUUCCUUUCUUUUCUUUGCGCGAGAGAAAACCUCAGCUGGUACACGCGGCUGAUGCCGGCAACAGCCGUGGUUGCGCCACCAAACGCCUGGGAUGCCACCAAGCCAGGGCCUCCACUCAACGUCGAUCUCCCUCCACCACCGUCGCGUCUCCGCUGCUGGUUUUCUUUUUACUAGGUCGCGUGGACUUCCUCUUCUCCCAUCGUGCUGCCGCCACCGCUGAGCCUGCCACAAGCCGCAAGCCGCAAGCCAAGGUCACCGUUCUUGCUUAAACCGUUUUUCAUCGGAGUAUCUUCUUGUGCAGUAUGAUUUUCCUCAUCUCGGGUUUCUUCUUCUGCUUGAAGCCACCUUCAAUGGUGAUUGUCCCUCUCUUAAGAGGAAUCACACUCGUGCCGCCGAUGAAACUGCUACGAUUAUUCUCCUCAAAUACUUUCCCCACUCAAAUUCGUGAAGACCAUCUCUUCUUCUUCUCUCUUAGCUUCUCUGCCUGUAACUAAGAAAAUGAAUGCGCGUGUUGAAUGCGUGUUCACAGGUCUAUGGUUUCAUUUCCCUUUUGAAUCUUGGUUUCCUGUCGCUGUUCUUGAUGAAUUUGAUUUUUGUAUGGUAUUGGUUGAUGGAAUGUUUCGUAGUAUGAUGUGCCCUUCUGUUCUUCCUCCCUUAUUCUCUGUCUGGUUUCUUUUUCUUAAAAUGGUGUGCGCCUGAAUGAGGGAUAACAGAGGACGAAUUGUGGUUGCUGGUGUGAGUAUGACGGUCUCUGUUCUUGGUGGUUUCUGUUUUUUUUCAUUUUUUUCACUGCAGGUUGAGAGUGAGGAUCAUAAUGGAUGAUGGAGAUGGAGUUUAGGAAGUGAGGGAAUGAGUUUUCUGUUGUGUGUGAUGAGGGUGUAGAAGUGGAGGGGCUGAAUCGGUUAUGUGGUGAGGGAGUAAUUCCGCGUAGUGUGUUCUGAGGCGUUCUGUGUGUGUGAUCAUUGCUGGAUAAUUUCUGAGAGUAAGUGAUGGAUCCCUUGGAGGUGGUUACGGAUUAUCUGAGAAUCCAUGAUGGCGUGAUGAGGACAAAACCAGUAUCUGUUGUGAGCAGUGCAAUUGAGUGAUCAGAGUUGGUGAAUGAGGUGAUGGAAUGGAGGGUGAAAAAUGGUGAGGAAGCCACGUGUGCGGACCAGAAGAACAGAGAAGUAGAGAGCUCAAAAAUAAUGCUUCAGUGAAUUCUGUUCUUCCCCCCUUUACAACAAACUUUUUUCUUUUUUCUUUCACGUUCUUUUUCUCUCUUUUUUUUU